GGACCCGGACUGAACCCGGAAAAUCCGGUCCGGGUUCAACCCGCACCGGAGUAAUUUUUAUCCGGAAUCCGGAUCAAUUUUUGACAACCCGCGUAUUUUCGGGUCCGAAUCCGGUUUCAGGUGAACCCGCAAAUCCGGAACCCGGACCCGGAUAUUAUUUAUUUUAAUAUUAAUUUUUUAUCCACAAAUCCCUAAAUAUAAAUAGAAAAAAGAAGAAGCAAAAGUGAACCCUAGAUCUAGAUCUCUCAAUCUCUCUCGUUCCUCUCUCGAACUUUCUCCUGAACUCUACUGUAAAUCUGUAAUUUCUCCUCUCAAUCUCUCAAGUCUCAUCUGUAAUCCGUUCCUCUCUCAAUCGCUCUCACCCGUGAGCCGUGACUCGUUCCUCAGUCCUCACUUAAUCUCUCUCACUCUCUCUUCAACUCUCCUAUAAUCUCACUCUGUCGCGGCUAGCAAAAGGGUUGAAAUUCAUCUCAGUCGCGGCUGGGUUCGUUUGUGGUUUCUUGGAUUCAUUUCUUCGUAAGCAAAAAGUUGGUUCUUUGUUAUUUAUUUAAUUCAUCAAAAGUUUGCAACUUUUUUGUUAUUGAUGCAUUUAGGUACCUUUUUUGACUUGAUUUGUAUUAAUUAAUUAUGUUUUAGUUUGUGGUUGUGGGGUUGUGUUAAUAAAAAGGUGGUAAUGGACUUGAUUUGUAUUAAUUAAUUAUGUUUUUGUUCUGUGCCAGCUUCUUGCAUGCUUUUUCCAAUUAAUCGGAGGGCCAGAUAAAAUCCAGUACCCUCUAAUUCAUGAUUAAUAAUGUUCUUGUUAAGAAUUUAAAAUUAAUGUCCUGUAAUUUUCUUGAUUAAUAAUGUCUCUUGAAAAUCCUAAUCUUAUGAAUUCUUGAUUAAUAAUGUCCUGUAAUUUUCUUUCAUUUUAAACAUUGUUCUCUUCAUAUAGAUUAACGAAAUUCAGUUAGGAUACUGUGAUUGUGUUACCAAUUUAAUUAGACUGUGUUUGUAAUUUUUGUAGAGUGAAAAAUUGAUAUGGAAAAUGAACAAAGAAUCGACUUGGAUGCCUCUGAAAUUAUUUGGUGUAUUAUUCUUAUUAUCAAUUUAUCACUAAUUGGUUGUGUUGCUCAUUAUGUUUAUGAUUUACACAUUUUUUGUAGAUGGAAUUCCAGAGGAAGCAAUACUUUCUGCAGAGCAUUUGAUUGAUGAAAGUUGGAUGAGUGAGCAACAGUCAAAUGAAGUGGAUGAUUCAGAGUUUAAUCUUUAGCACUAGUGGCUGGAAAUUUGAGCUUUAAAUUGUGGAAUUAUGUUAUGGAUUUGUAUAUGUGGAUGUUUAUUACUUUAAAACUUUUGAGUGUGUUGUAUUUGUUUUAGAACUUGGAUGUGUUAUAUGUUUUGUUUUUUUGCCCUUUGUCCAGUAAAUUUUGUUGAACCAAAGUGAAGUAACUUGGUUCUGGUAGUCUGGUUCUGGAUGUGAUAUAUGUUCUUUUUUUUUGCUUUUUAUCCAGCAAAUUUUGUUGAACCAAUUCUAGGAAGAAUAUUGUAAUGUGUUUUAUCGUAAUGUGUUUUUUCAUGUAAUACAUUAAAACAUUAAAACA
rnacentral:lncRNA from 1 species